rnacentral:lncRNA from 1 species
ACAUCUAUAAUACUAAAAUUACGAGGUCCAAUUUGUCAGCCGUCAUCACGUAAUAACGACGAAUCAAAGAAUUCAACUUUAUAUAUAACUAAUAUAGUACAAAGGUGUAGAUUAAAAAUUACACCACUCAAGGCCCUUUUGUUUUCCACGUAAUUAAUAUUGCCAAUAAUUAAGAAGUUCCGAGUUGAGUCCGAUACCGAUACCAAUAG